CCGGGGAUUAGUGGCGAACGGGUGAGUAACACGUGGGCAAUCUGCCCUGCACUCUGGGAUAAGCCCGGGAAACUGGGUCUAAUACCGGAUACGACACUCCAGGGCAUCUUGGGGUGUGGAAAGUUCCGGCGGUGCAGGAUGAGCCCGCGGCCUAUCAGCUUGUUGGUGGGGUAAUGGCCUACCAAGGCGACGACGGGUAGCCGGCCUGAGAGGGUGACCGGCCACACUGGGACUGAGACACGGCCCAGACUCCUACGGGAGGCAGCAGUGGGGAAUAUUGCACAAUGGGCGAAAGCCUGAUGCAGCGACGCCGCGUGAGGGAUGACGGCCUUCGGGUUGUAAACCUCUUUCAGCAGGGAAGAAGCGAGAGUGACGGUACCUGCAGAAGAAGCACCGGCUAACUACGUGCCAGCAGCCGCGGUAAUACGUAGGGUGCGAGCGUUGUCCGGAAUUAUUGGGCGUAAAGAGCUCGUAGGCGGUUUGUCGCGUCGAUUGUGAAAGCCCGGGGCUUAACCCUGGGUCUGCAGUCGAUACGGGCAGGCUAGAGUUCGGCAGGGGAGACUGGAAUUCCUGGUGUAGCGGUGAAAUGCGCAGAUAUCAGGAGGAACACCGGUGGCGAAGGCGGGUCUCUGGGCCGAUACUGACGCUGAGGAGCGAAAGCGUGGGGAGCGAACAGGAUUAGAUACCCUGGUAGUCCACGCCGUAAACGGUGGGCACUAGGUGUGGGCAACA
rnacentral:rRNA from 1 species